GAUGAACGCUGGCGGCGUGCUUAACACAUGCAAGUCGAACGAUGAACCGCUGCUUGCUCGGGGGAUUAGUGGCGAACGGGUGAGUAACACGUGAGUAACCUGCCCUUGACUCUGGGAUAAGCCUGGGAAACUGGGUCUAAUACCGGAUAUGACUCCUCAUCGCAUGGUGGGGGGUGGAAAGCUUUUGUGGUUUUGGAUGGACUCGCGGCCUAUCAGCUUGUUGGUGGGGUAAUGGCCUACCAAGGCGACGACGGGUAGCCGGCCUGAGAGGGUGACCGGCCACACUGGGACUGAGACACGGCCCAGACUCCUACGGGAGGCAGCAGUGGGGAAUAUUGCACAAUGGGCGAAAGCCUGAUGCAGCGACGCCGCGUGAGGGAUGACGGCCUUCGGGUUGUAAACCUCUUUCAGUAGGGAAGAAGCGUAAGUGACGGUACCUGCAGAAGAAGCGCCGGCUAACUACGUGCCAGCAGCCGCGGUAAUACGUAGGGCGCAAGCGUUAUCCGGAAUUAUUGGGCGUAAAGAGCUCGUAGGCGGUUUGUCGCGUCUGCUGUGAAAGACCGGGGCUCAACUCCGGUUCUGCAGUGGGUACGGGCAGACUAGAGUGCAGUAGGGGAGACUGGAAUUCCUGGUGUAGCGGUGAAAUGCGCAGAUAUCAGGAGGAACACCGAUGGCGAAGGCAGGUCUCUGGGCUGUAACUGACGCUGAGAGCGAAAGC
rnacentral:rRNA from 1 species